rnacentral:rRNA from 1 species
UCGGGAAUUUUGGGCAAUGGGCGAAAGCCUGACCCAGCAACGCCGCGUGAAGGAUGAAGUCUUUCGGGAUGUAAACUUCGUAAAAAUAGGAAGAAUAAAUGACGGUACUAUUUGUAAGGUCCGGCUAACUACGUGCCAGCAGCCGCGGUAAUACGUAGGGACCAAGCGUUGUUCGGAUUUACUGGGCGUAAAGGGCGCGUAGGCGGCGUGGUAAGUCACUUGUGAAAUCUCCGAGCUUAACUCGGAACGGUCAAGUGAUACUGCUGUGCUAGAGUACAGAAGGGGCAAUCGGAAUUCUUGGUGUAGCGGUGAAAUGCGUAGAUAUCAGGAGGAACACCGGUGGCGAAGGCGGCUGCCUGGCCAAAUACUGACGCUGAGAUACGAAAGCGUGGGUAGCAAACAGGAUUAGAUACCCAAGUAGUCCCUGAGCGGGCUGGCAAGGCGCAU